AACGAACGCUGGCGGCAUGCCUAACACAUGCAAGUCGAACGAGACCUUCGGGUCUAUUGGCGCACGGGUGCGUAACGCGUGGGAACCUGCCCUUAGGUUCGGAAUAACUCCCCGAAUGGGGUGCUAAUACCGGAUAAUGUCUUCGGACCAAAGAUUUAUCGCCUUUGGAUGGGCCCGCGUUGGAUUAGCUAGUUGGUAGGGUAAAAGCCUACCAAGGCGACGAUCCAUAGCUGGGCUGAGAGGAUGAUCAGCCACACUGGGACUGAGACACGGCCCAGACUCCUACGGGAGGCAGCAGUGGGGAAUAUUGGAAAAUGGGCGAAAGCAUGAUCCAGCAAUGCCGCGUGAGUGAUGAAGGCAUUAGGGUUGUAAAGCUCUUUUACCCGGGAUGAUAAUGACGGUACCGGGAGAAUAAGCUCCGGCUAACUCCGUG
rnacentral:rRNA from 1 species